AUGACAACAACACAACCACAAACACAGGAAACGGAGACAAACCCACCAAUCCAGAUCACAACAACACAACCACAAACACAGGAAACAGAGACAAACCAACCGAACCAGAUCACAACAACACGACCACAAACACAGGAAACAGAGACAAACCCACCAAUCCAGAUCACAACAACACAACCACAAACACAGGAAACAGAGACAAACCCACCAAACCAGAUCACAACAACACAACCACAAACACAGGAAACAGAGACAAACCCACCAAUCCCGGAAACGACCACAACCCUGGUAUCUCAGGUAACAACAAAAAAAAAGCCAAGUACAAAUGACAAACCCACCAGUCAGGAAAGCAACGAGAGCCACGGCAACCCAGAUAACAAUGGAGACUCCACCAAACCACAUGAUAACAACAAACCCGAAAAGCCAUGUCAAAAUGACCAACCCACCAGUCAGGAAAGCAACAAGAGCCAAGACAACCCAGGGAACAAGGGAAACCCAACCAAACCACAUGAUAACAACAAACCGGGAAAGAACCAGAAGCCCUGUGACAAUCAUAACCCCGGCAACUCAACACCAACAAAACCACAAACAGUGACAAACUCACCAAUCCGGAAUACCACCACAACCCUGGUAUCUCAGGUAACAAAGAAAAACCCACCAAACCAGAUCACAACAACACAACCACAAACACAGGAAACAGUGACAAACCCACCAAACCAGAUCACAACAACACAACCACAAACACAGGAAACAGAGACAAACCCACCAAUCCAGAUCACAACCACAGAACAACAAACACAGGAAACAGAGACAAACCCACCAAACCAGAUCACAACAACAGAACCACAAACACAGGAAACAGAGACAAACCCACCAAUCCAGAUCACAACCACAGAACCACAAACACAGGAAACAGAGACAAACCCACCAAUCCAGAUCACAACCACAGAACCACAAACACAGGAAACAGAGACAAACCCACCAAUCCAGAUCACAACCACAGAACCACAAACACAGGAAACAGAGACAAACCCACCAAUCCAGAUCACAACAACACAACCACAAACACAGGAAACAGAGACAAACCCACCAAUCCAGAUCACAACAACACAACCACAAACACAGGAAACAGAGACAAACCCACCAAUCCAGAUCACAACAACACAACCACAAACACAGGAAACAGAGACAAACCCACCAAACCAGAUCACAACAACACAACCACAAACACAGGAAACAGAGACAAACCCACCAAACCAGAUCACAACAACACAACCACAAACACAGGAAACAGAGACAAACCCACCAAUCCCGGAAACGACCACAACCCUGGUAUCUCAGGUAACAACAAAAAAAAGCCAAGUACAAAUGACAAACCCACCAGUCAGGAAAGCAACGAGAGCCACGGCAACCCAGAUAACAAUGGAGACUCCACCAAACCACAUGAUAACAACAAACCCGAAAAGCCAUGUCAAAAUGACCAACCCACCAGUCAGGAAAGCAACGAGAGCCAAGAAAACCCAGGGAACAAGGGAAACCCAACCAAACCACAUGAUAACAACAAACCGGGAAAGAACCAGAAGCCCUGUGACAAUCAUAACCCCGGCAACUCAACACCAACAAAACCACAAACAGUGA
rnacentral:lncRNA from 1 species